AUCAACCAGAGUACAUGUCUGUUGCAAAGCAAGAAUGAUUUGAUUCCACACUAGCCAAUUAAUGUGAGAUAAGCAUUGUUUAAUACAAACUUCAAUGAAAAGAAAUAAUCAAAUAUCCUUUUAUUCAGU